rnacentral:rRNA from 1 species
UACGUAGGGGGCUAGCGUUGUCCGGAAUCAUUGGGCGUAAAGCGCGCGUAGGCGGCCAGAUAAGUCCGGUGUGAAAGUCAAAGGCUCAACCUUUGAAUGCCGCUGGAAACUGUCUGGCUUGAGUCCGGGAGAGGUGAGUGGAACUGCGAGUGUAGAGGUGAAAUUCGUAGAUAUUCGCAAGAACACCAGUGGCGAAGGCGGCUCACUGGCCCGGUACUGACGCUGAGGUGCGAAAGCGUGGGGAGCAAACAGG